GCUGCAGACAAUGGUGAAGAGCCAUAUGAUACACUGUUCCCAGGUGGGAGGAGAACAAUGUGGUGACAUGAUGCAGUGACAGGCAGAAAGAAAAUCGUAGCUUCAGGGGUUUUCACUGCAACAAUUUGAUUUGGGAAUUGAGUCACCAAAAACGAGUGAAUUGGGAAGCAGCCAGCCCUAGUGGAAUGUAUCUGAUCCUGCACUAUAAGACAAUGUCUCAGAGUGAGCAAUCCCGCCCUCUGCCCCAUGGGGAUGC